AUUUGCAGCAACAUGGAUGGACCUAGAGAUUAUCAUACUAAAGUGAACUCCUCCCUCUGAACUUUGUGUGAGCCACGGGCUAGGCUGGACUUUGGUGUCUGCCUUUCAGAUGGUUGGUGCCAUAAGAGGGCCACGUGUGUGCAGGAAGAAGCAAAAGGCAGCUUAGUGAAUUGGAGACAACUGGAGGUGGUUUAUAAGGAUGGAGUGCAAAGAGCCAGUGGCACUUAGUGGCCCAAUGGGUUACAUGCAGUUAUUAAGGUAAGCAAAGCCUCACCCAUUGCUUGUGGUCAGACAUGUGAUUUUAAUUAUGGG